UCGGCAGACGACACGUCGCGCCUCUGCCUCGUCACUGAGCCCGACGACCAGGGUGGGAGAGACGUGCUGGGACUCAGCGUGGAUGUGUCGAAUCGCCGUUAUUCGUCCUACAAGUCAGCACCAUAUAUUGGCCGCUGCAUACACAUCGACGAUGCCAUACUGAGCUGCAGUUUAAAAUGUCUUACACCGCAUCAUCUCUUCAACAAAGCGAACGAUGAAUUGUCGAAUACCACCGUUCUGUGGACUGAACCAGUCAGAGACGCUCGUCGCCACAACAUAUUCGGCAACGUCACCUUCACCGUGGCCUGGUCCGACAUGUACAGGCAGUUUGGCCCUAAUAUGUACUAUCUUCGGCAACGUACUUCUCACAACAUUACAACUGAAAUACUGAUCACUAAAAAACGUUUUAACACCUUAGAAUUAGUUGAUUUCAAUGCCAAGAAUGCUCCUGUAAGAAGAGGAGAAUGCAAUUGUGCAUCAGAGAGCAAAAUGUGUAACUGUGGUUCGUUGAAAUACGCAACAAAAAUUCGAAGAGGUAAAUCAAGUAUCAGGCAUCAUAUACAAAUAGCCGUUGAUGCCACAAUCUGGGAGGGUUUUUGGGUCUAUGCUCUGAGCACCAUUGUACUGAAUGACCACCAGCAUAAUAAAUUUUGUUUCAGGCAGGAAUACGUAAAACCCAAGAGGCCUUGUCAGUUUUAUUGUGACGCAAGCCAAGUCCAAACUAUUUUAUGGCUACAAUGCCACCACGAACUUGAUGAGGAUUUUAGGCGCGAAUGGUAUGAUAGAUUUUGGCAGAAUUGGAUGCAUCAUUUUGAAAGUUACAGUCAAUCUCUACCAUAUUAUUUUAAAUAAGCAUUUAAGGGACAUCUGUCU
rnacentral:lncRNA from 1 species